CCCUGCCCUUUGUACACACCGCCCGUCGCUACUACCGAUUGAAUGGGUUAGUGAGACCUUUAGAUUGGUUAAUAUAACGUGGUAACACGUCUUAUUUACUAAGAAGUUGGUCAAACUUGUCCAUUUAGAGGAAGUAAAAGUCGUAACAAG
rnacentral:rRNA from 1 species